CUUUACUCUAACUUGGUACUGGCGUAUACGUCUACAUGUGCAGGAUAGGUGGGAGACUGUGAAGGAGAAGCGUCAGCUUUUCUGGAGUCGUCGUUGAGAUACCACCCUUGUAUUCGUGUACGUCUAACUCGAUCUUCGAGGACAGUGCUUGGCGGGGAGUUUAACUGGGGCGGUUGCCUCCUAAAAUGUAACGGAGGCGCGCAAAGGUGGGCUAAUACCGGAUGGAAAUCGGUAUGAUAGUGUAUUCGCAUAAGCCCGCUUGACUGAGAGACCUACAAGUCGAACAGAGACGAAAGUCGGCGAAAGUGAUCCGGCACCAACACGUGGGAGUGGUGUCGCUCAACGGAUAAAAGUUA
rnacentral:rRNA from 1 species